rnacentral:rRNA from 1 species
AUUGAACGCUGGCGGCAUGCCUUACACAUGCAAGUCGAACGGCAGCACGGGUGCUUGCACCUGGUGGCGAGUGGCGAACGGGUGAGUAAUACAUCGGAACAUGUCCUGUAGUGGGGGAUAGCCCGGCGAAAGCCGGAUUAAUACCGCAUACGAUCUACGGAUGACAGCGGGGGACCUUCGGGUCUCGCGCUAUAGGGUUGGCCGAUGGCUGAUUAGCUAGUUGGUGGGGUAAAGGCCUACCAAGGCGACGAUCAGUAGCUGGUCUGAGAGGACGACCAGCCACACUGGGACUGAGACACGGCCCAGACUCCUACGGGAGGCAGCAGUGGGGAAUUUUGGACAAUGGGCGAAAGCCUGAUCCAGCAAUGCCGCGUGUGUGAAGAAGGCCUUCGGGUUGUAAAGCACUUUUGUCCGGAAAGAAAUCCUUGGCCCUAAUACGGUCGGGGGAUGACGGUACCGGAAGAAUAAGCACCGGCUAACUACGUG